rnacentral:rRNA from 1 species
AUGUGCAGUCAGGUUGUUCUGAGUGAGGAACCUGACAAAGUCAAAUGGCUUUUGACCAGCUCUAGUCAGUUCUCUGUUAAAUCUCUUUAUCGAUAUAUUAUUGCUAAGAGAGUAGUGUUCCCUUUUAAGUUUAUGUGGAAACUGAAGGUACCUUUGAAAAUUAAUGCUUUUAUAUGUUUAGUUAUCAAAGGGGGGAUCCUGACCAAGGACAACUUGUGUAAAAAAGGCUGGAAAGGCACCAACAAAUGUGAAUUUUGUGAUGCCAAUGAAUGUAUUGACCAUCUGUUUUUCACUUGUUCUUUUGCUCGGUUUCUUUGA